rnacentral:rRNA from 1 species
CAGUCGCCACGGGAAUACGAGGGGGGCAAGCGUUGUUCGGAAUUAUUGGGCGUAAAGGGCGCGUAGGCGGUUUGACAAGUCUGAUGUGAAAUCUCUGGGCUCAACCCAGAGUCUGCAUCGGAAACUGUCGAGCUUGAGUAUGGGAGAGGUGAGUGGAAUUUCCGGUGUAGCGGUGAAAUGCGUAGAUAUCGGAAGGAACACCUGUGGCGAAAGCGGCUCACUGGACCAUUACUGACGCUGAGGCGCGAAAGCUAGGGGAGCAAACAGGAUUAGAGACCCCAGUAGUCCCUGUCUCUUAUAC